rnacentral:misc_RNA from 1 species
GGUUUUUCUCUCCACUGAUUCCUUGCACAGCGACACCCUCUCCAACAGGACGGGGGCGUGACGGUGUACUGGUGUACUGGUUAGGGUUAGGGUUAGGGUUAGGGUUAGGGUUAGGGUUUUUCUCUCCACUGAUUCCUUGCACAGCGACACCCUCUCCAACAGGACGGGGGCGUGACGGUGUACUGGUGUACUGGUUAGGGUUAGGGUUAGGGUUAGGGUUAGGGUUUUUCUCUCCACUGAUUCCUUGCACAGCGACACCCUCUCCAACAGGACGGGGGCGUGACGGUGUACU